GACGAACGCUGGCGGCGUGCCUAAUACAUGCAAGUCGAACGCACUCUCGUUUAGAUUGAAGGAGCUUGCUCCUGAUUGAUAAACAUUUGAGUGAGUGGCGGACGGGUGAGUAACACGUGGGUAACCUGCCCUAAAGUGGGGGAUAACAUUUGGAAACAGAUGCUAAUACCGCAUAAAACCUAACACCGCAUGGUGUAGGGUUGAAAGAUGGUUUCGGCUAUCACUCUAGGAUGGACCCGCGGUGCAUUAGUUAGUUGGUGAGGUAAAGGCUCACCAAGACCGUGAUGGCAUAGCCGACCUGAGAGGGUUAAUCGGCCACACUGGGACUGAGACACGGCCCCAGACUCCUACGGGAGGCAGCAGUAGGGAAUCUUCCACAAUGGACGAAAGUCUGAUGGAGCAACGCCGCGUGAGUGAAGAAGGUUUUCGGAUCGUAAAACUCUGUUGUUGGAGAAGAA
rnacentral:rRNA from 1 species